UUAAGCAUAUCAAUAAGCGGAGGAAAAGAAACCAACAGGGAUUGCCCUAGUAACGGCGAGUGAAGCGGCAACAGCUCAAAUUUGAAAUCUGGCGCAAGCCCGAGUUGUAAUUUGUAGAGGAUGCUUCUGGGUAGCGACCGAUCUAAGUUCCUUGGAACAGGACGUCAUAGAGGGUGAGAAUCCCGUAUGUGACCGGCCCGCACCCUUUACGUAGCUCCUUCGACGAGUCGAGUUGUUUGGGAAUGCAGCUCUAAAUGGGAGGUAAAUUUCUUCUAAAGCUAAAUACCGGCCAGAGACCGAUAGCGCACAAGUAGAGUGAUCGAAAGAUGAAAAGUACUUUGGAAAGAGAGUUAAAAAGCACGUGAAAUUGUUGAAAGGGAAGCGCCUGCAACCAGACUUCGCGGCAGUGUUCCGCCGGUCUUCUGACCGGUUCAUUCUCUGUCGCGAGGCCAUCAUCGUCUGGGCCCGCCGGAUAAGACCUUAGGAAUGUAGCUCACCUUCGGGGGAGUGUUAUAGCCUAGGGUGAUGCGGCGAGGCUCGGGCGAGGUCCGCGCUUCGGCAAGGAUGAUGGCGUAAUGGUUGUCGGCGGCCCGUCUUGAAACACGGACCAAGGAGUCUAACAUCUAUGCGAGUGUUCGGGUGUCAAACCCCUACGCGUAAUGAAAGUGAACGGAGGUGGGAACCGCAAGGUGCACCAUCGACCGAUCCUGAUGUCCUCGGAUGGAUUUGAGUAAGAGCAUAGCUGUUGGGACCCGAAAGAUGGUGAACUAUGCCUGAAUAGGGUGAAGCCAGAGGAAACUCUGGUGGAGGCUCGCAGCGGUUCUGACGUGCAAAUCGAUCGUCAAAUUUGGGUAUAGGGGCGAAAGACUAAUCGAACCAUCUAGUAGCUGGUUCCUGCCGAA
rnacentral:rRNA from 2 species